rnacentral:rRNA from 1 species
CAUGGCUCAGGAUGAACGCUGGCGGCGUGCCUAAUACAUGCAAGUAGAACGCUGAAGCUUGGUGCUUGCACCGAGCGGAUGAGUUGCGAACGGGUGAGUAACGCGUAGGUAACCUGCCUGGUAGCGGGGGAUAACUAUUGGAAACGAUAGCUAAUACCGCAUAACAGUAGAUGUUGCAUGACAUUUGCUUGAAAGGGGCAAUUGCUCCACUACCAGAUGGACCUGCGUUGUAUUAGCUAGUAGGUGAGGUAACGGCUCACCUAGGCGACGAUACAUAGCCGACCUGAGAGGUGGAUCGGCCACAUGGGGACGGAGACACGGCCAGACUCCUACGG